AGUAACACAACAAGGUCAAAGUUGGUCUUCAGUUUUAGCCACUAACACGCUUGGUCACCGACGGUAAAUGUUUUAGGAUAUAUUUUACUUACCAUUGACCUCCACGCGUUACCGGCCAUUCUGGAGAAGAGCCUAAUCAAAGAUUGUGGCAAAGAAAGAUGACGAAGAUGCCCCACCCGCUUGGAAAAAAAAACAAAACACGACUUCUGGGACCAGCCGGACUGGUUUUGGAACGAGUUGGGCACCAGAGCAGCGAGUAUGGCGCAGUAGGAUAAACUCGGCACCGGGAGGGCAGAGUCUGGACCAGAAGGACGUGGUCUGUCUCCCAGGACCGUGGUCAACUAGCGGAGCAUCUUCACUUCCAGUUGUCAUGGGAUUAGGACCUACAGCGCCAUCUGCUGUCUCGGCGGACACCUGAAGAUGAAGCUUUACUAUGGAUCAGAGCGGUCAAACGAACAUGGAUCCCGACUACAUGUCAACCGGCAGUUUUCGGUGAGAAAAUUGUGGUAUUAAGUCGCCUCUUACCGGAGAUCAGCGGAGCUUCUGUCCUGCUGCAGCUUCGUGACUUCCCUCAGAGAGACUGGCAUCAACACACCCUUCCGACUAUCAGAUCUCCUGAAUUUAGCAGUGUGACAUCAUCACCUAAAGACCGAGCAGCGGGACGUCAGGACUCAAGAAGCGGAAUCUUCGAGGGAAAGAAGAGAAAGCAGAUGCGGUUAAAGCAGACGACUUUUAGCUGUGUGUGUGCGCAGCGCUAAUAUUUCCUCACAGUCCGUGACGUCACGCGUAUACGUCAUCAUUUUGCGAUGUUUUCAACAAGAAACUCCCGGGAAAUUUAAAAUUGCAAUUUAGUAAACUAAAAAGGCCGUAUUGGCAUGUGUUGCAAUGUUAAUAUUUCAUCAUUGAUAUAUAAACUAUCAGACUGCGUGGUCGCUAGUAGUGGGUCUCAGUAGGCCUUUAUAGUAGUAAAGUGUCGCUGGAGCAUGGAUUUUAAUGUCAGCGUGUAGUUAGUUCUAGCUAACCAACGCCUCUGACUGCACUCGCUGUAGCGUCGCAAAGCUCAAUUAAAUGUUUUAACGUCACAAAACUGCGACGUUUGAACACGAACACUGGUUGGCAUACAGCGAGUGCGAGUUCCCCUUGAAGAUUUAAAGGGGAACAUUAUCACAAUUUCAGAAGGGCUCCAGUACUCUGGAAUGCCCUCCCGGUAACAGUUCGAGAUGCUACCUCAGUAGAAGCAUUUAAGUCUCACCUUAAAACUCAUUUGUAUGCUCUAGCCUUUAAAUAGACUCCCUUUUUAGACCAGUUGAUCUGCCGUUUCUUUUCUUUUUCUUCUAUGUCCCACUCUCCCUUGUGGAAGGGGGUCCGGUCCGAUCCGGUGGCCAUGUACUGCUUGCCUGUGUAUCGGCUGGGGACAACUCUGUGCUGCUGAUCCGCCUCUGCUUGGGAUGGUUUCCUGCUGGCUCCGCUGUGAACGGGACUCU